CGCAAGCCUGACGGAGCAAGACCGCGUGAGGGAGGAAGGUCCUUGGAUUGUAAACCUCUUUUCUCAGGGAAGAAGAAAGUGACGGUACCUGAGGAAUCAGCCUCGGCUAACUCCGUGCCAGCAGCCGCGGUAAUACGGAGGAUGCAAGCGUUAUCCGGAAUUAUUGGGCGUAAAGCGUCCGCAGGUGGCUUGUCAAGUCUGCUGUCAAAGACUGGGGCUUAACUCCGGGCAGGCAGUGGAAACUGACAGGCUAGAGUGCAGGAGGGGUAGAGGGAAUUCCCGGUGUAGCGGUGAAAUGCGUAGAUAUCGGGAAGAACAUCGGUGGCGAAGGCGCUCUACUGGACUGCAACUGACACUCAGGGACGAAAGCUAGGGGAGCG
rnacentral:rRNA from 1 species